AAUUCGGACUUUCUUCGAAGUGAAGUAAGGUUAAAGAAGAGUAUUUCUUGAAAUAUAAGAUAAGAAUUAUUCUCUCCUAAACAUAUUAAAAUUCAUCCCUGUUUUAGCAAAAAAAAAAAGAAAUUGAGACGGGAACUACGAAAUUAAUUACGGGGGCAACUAGUGAAACGUUGAAUUUGAGAGGACAUAAUUCGGCCACCUAUGCAAAUAAAGUGAUUAGGUGUUAACUUUAUAAAACACAUAUAACAAAAGGUUGCCAGCAAAUCAUACCAAUAUACACGUCCUUGUUUGUAAAGCUAGCAAAGAAGAAUGUUAAUCUUUUGAGAGAAACAAAACACCAAGAACGUGCAAUAACUAUUCAAUAUACAAAAAGGGUAUGGAAACCAUUUUCUCCUAUGAACCAACAGCCAUGAAAUCAAGCACACGGACACGGCUAUCCCAAUCCAUCUUUGAAUUUUAUAGCAAAAAUUAAAAUCUCAAGGGUGUUCUUCGUGCAAGGAGGCGGCAAUAGAAGAAUAUUUAAUUGAGGAAGGAGAAAUUGUGAAAUUAGAACAAAUAAGUGUAGAAAUUCCUCCGAGUAAGUUAAGACAAACAAGUUGGACGAAUAGGUGUAGCUAGUAAGGCGCGACACAGGUGUACCCAGAGGAGUUGAAGCUAAUAUAGAAGAUAUUCCAGCAGAGUUGGCAAGCUCCACUUGUUCCUGGAGUGCUACCGAGUCAGAGUACAUGUGCUACGAUGUCUGAUAAAUGUUAGAGACUUUGCAGACAGAGUCGUGGGUAUAGGAUGUCGGUAUUGUGAACGGCUCUACUAGCCUAUGUGUCAUUUUAUGUUAUGUUAUAGAGUCCAUAUGAUAACAGAUUAUAUUUGAUUUGAGUACGAUGAAAAAAAAAAGAAAAAUUGAAAGCUUUACUAUGUUUUCCACUCCUUAUUGAUGUAAGAGUCCAAAGAGGUUAAGUAUGUAAUAAGAGUCAGCGGGUUCGCUCGGCUCCGAAUACGGGGUCGGGUGCCCAUCACACCCCAGUAAGAUCGGGGUGUGACAAAGUGGUAUCAGAGCAGGUCGGUCUAAGGGGUUGUCUGCAAAGUCGUGUCCAGUAGAGUCCUAUUUAUGGGUGUGAAGCCGGCCACAUUUAUAAACAGGAGGCUACAGGGCAUCUAGGGAUUGUUGACCUUCUUUCUGUCUCAGAUCGUGCGGUAGGGCCAAGUCAUAGGAAAAUGAAAUUCCUUAUAUAAGCCUUGCGUACGACGGAGGAAAGUGAAUGUCGAUAUGGAAAGCCACAGGGGUAAGUAUUGAUAUUUUGUUCUUUACCUGAAAUUGGAAGCUCUGAAUGGCUGGAAUGUGAUAUAUAGUCGUAUGUGCUGUGCGGUAUUGUCGAUGUUUGCUAUGUACAAAUUCUGAAUAGUAAGAAUGGUAGAGGAGACCCGGUCAGAAUUUUUCAAAAUUAGGUUAUUUGAUCUGGUUUGUCUAACGGUGAGGAGUAUGACGAAAUAAAAGCAAGUGAUAGUUAAAAGACCUUUAAAAGGAAGUCAGAAAGUGACACAUGGUGCUGCGAAUUCAGAAUACGGACUAUAACAGCGGAAUAAAGCAAGGAUAUUGGAUUACAAAAAUUUCACCCUCGGUGAAAAUUUUUUUUACUCGUAGAACCUGCGAAGGGUUCACAGGUUACCGGAGGCGUGCGAUACUCCAAGGAUACUAAAGUCAAAUAAACCGACGAGAGAUGUCUGUGCGUUACAAGAUCUUGCUUAAAGAUAAGAAGGUGAGAUA